rnacentral:rRNA from 1 species
AUUGAACGCUGGCGGCAGGCCUAACACAUGCAAGUCGAGCGGAUGAAGGGAGCUUGCUCCUGGAUUCAGCGGCGGACGGGUGAGUAAUGCCUAGGAAUCUGCCUGGUAGUGGGGGAUAACGUCCGGAAACGGGCGCUAAUACCGCAUACGUCCUGAGGGAGAAAGUGGGGGAUCUGCGGACCUCACGCUAUCAGAUGAGCCUAGGUCGGAUUAGCUAGUUGGUGGGGUAAAGGCCUACCAAGGCGACGAUCCGUAACUGGUCUGAGAGGAUGAUCAGUCACACUGGAACUGAGACACGGUCCAGACUCCUACGGGAGGCAGCAGUGGGGAAUAUUGGACAAUGGGCGAAAGCCUGAUCCAGCCAUGCCGCGUGUGUGAAGAAGGUCUUCGGAUUGUAAAGCACUUUAAGUUGGGAGGAAGGGAAGUAAGUUAAUACCUUGCUGUUUUGACGUUACCAACAGAAUAAGCACCGGCUAACUUCGUG